rnacentral:rRNA from 2 species
UACGGAGGGAGCUAGCGUUGUUCGGAAUUACUGGGCGUAAAGCGUACGUAGGCGGUUAUUCAAGUCAGAGGUGAAAGCCUGGAGCUCAACUCCAGAACUGCCUUUGAAACUAGAUGGCUAGAAUCUGGGAGAGGUGAGUGGAAUUCCGAGUGUAGAGGUGAAAUUCGUAGAUAUUCGGAAGAACACCAGUGGCGAAGGCGGCUCACUGGACCAGUAUUGACGCUGAGGUACGAAAGCGUGGGGAGCAAAC